rnacentral:rRNA from 1 species
GAUGAACGCUGGCGGCGUGCCUAAUACAUGCAAGUCGAGCGAACGGACGAGAAGCUUGCUUCUCUGAUGUUAGCGGCGGACGGGUGAGUAACACGUGGAUAACCUACCUAUAAGACUGGGAUAACUUCGGGAAACCGGAGCUAAUACCGGAUAAUAUUUUGAACCGCAUGGUUCAAAAGUGAAAGACGGUCUUGCUGUCACUUAUAGAUGGAUCCGCGCUGGAUUAGCUAGUUGGUAAGGUAACGGCUUACCAAGGCAACGAUGCAUAGCCGACCUGAGAGGGUGAUCGACCACACUGGAACUGAGACACGGUCCAGACUCCUACGGGAGGCAGCAGUAGGGAAUCUUACGCAAUGGGCGAAAGCCUGACGGAGCAACGCCGCGUGGGUGAUGAAGGUCUUCGGAUCGUAAAACUCUGUUAUUAGGGGAGAACAUAUGUGUAAGUGACUGUGCACAUCUUGACGGUACCUGAUCAGAAAGCCACGGCUAACUACGUG